rnacentral:rRNA from 1 species
UACCAGCACCCCGAGUGGUCGGGACGAUUAUUGGGCCUAAAGCAUCCGUAGCCGGUUCUUCAAGUCUUCCGUUAAAUCCACCUGCUUAACAGAUGGGCUGCGGAAGAUACUAUGGAGCUAGGAGGCGGGAGAGGCAAGCGGUACUCGAUGGGUAGGGGUAAAAUCCGUUGAUCCAUUGAAGACCACCAGUGGCGAAGGCGGCUUGCCAGAACGCGCUCGACGGUGAGGGAUGAAAGCUGGGGGAGCAAACCGG